rnacentral:lncRNA from 1 species
ACCUGGAAGGCCAGAUCAUGGUACUUCUGCUUCUCUUUGGGCCCCAGAGCAUACCACCACUCGCCCAGGAUCUUGCUGACGGUCCGGUUGUCCUGGUUAGGAUGACGCUGGUGGACCAGGGCUCGGUGACGCUUACUGAAGAUCAUGAAGGCAUUCAUGGGCCGCCGGAUAUGGUCCUUCUCCCGCUGCAGUAAACACAGCCAAGAGCAGGAGUUAGGACCAGCCUUAGGCGCCUACAGUGAGACCAGGGGACUGGUGAAGAGCAGGUACCUUGUUGGGGCUGCGUCCAUCCUUCUCAGAAGACGAAUCUCUUUCCUUAGGCAGGGCACUGAGCGACUGUGUCCGACGUUUUCCAGGUGGCAGAGGCAACUGGAUCUCAGGAGACAUGAUGGAAAGAAAGCUUGCGGGGGGCAACAGGUACAGUGAGGACCAUGUCUCUGGCCACCCCCCUUUCCCUCCCAACCUGUCCUAGGUCUUGAAGGACUCACGCAUCAUCAUGGUCGCUCUCUGUCUCACUAUCCAGCCGGGGUUCUCCUGGGGGGCCAGGGACCUCCUCCUCAGUGGUGGGAGGAGGACCUUUACCAGGUUCCAGAACUCCCAAAGUAUGUAGAGGCCACUGGGUGGCUGGCAGGUUGUUGGGCCUCACUCGGCUGCACAGAGGGGUCUGGCUGGCUGGGUGCCAGAAAGGGAACUAAAGAAUGCCAGGGGAACACGGCCACAGAGCGAGGUUCCACAUUUGUCCACACUGUGGGAGGGAGCCAAGUGAGCCACGGGAGCGUGCAGGACAGCUUGCCCCUGAACCCCAACUGAAACUCUUCCCCACUCUGGACAAGGUAGCUCCACCCUUUUUUCACACCCUCUUCCCCUACCCCAGAGCCUCUUGGGCUAAUCCACGAGAUGUCGUUCAGGAAAAAUUCUCCCUGCAAGGUCUCUGGAUUUAUAAAAAAUGAAAACAGAUGCAACCUCUACUAACUAACCCUCCCACCAGGGACCAGGCCAAAGAAAUAACUAGCUCCUGCCACAAAGCAGGUCACGCUCAGCCGCCAUUCCACAUUCCUGGCCCUCUCAAGACUCCCGCCAGGCUGGAGACCCCACACAGCAGUCACAUCACAUUCCCAGCACCCAUGUUACCAUCUGACAGUCCCUCACCUUAGCCUCAC